rnacentral:piRNA from 1 species
AAGGAACACUGUAACUGACAGAGU